AGAUUGAACGCUGGCGGCAGGCCUAACACAUGCAAGUCGAGCGGCAGCACGGGUACUUGUACCUGGUGGCGAGCGGCGGACGGGUGAGUAAUGCCUAGGAAUCUGCCUGGUAGUGGGGGAUAACGCUCGGAAACGGACGCUAAUACCGCAUACGUCCUACGGGAGAAAGCAGGGGACCUUCGGGCCUUGCGCUAUCAGAUGAGCCUAGGUCGGAUUAGCUAGUUGGUGGGGUAAUGGCUCACCAAGGCGACGAUCCGUAACUGGUCUGAGAGGAUGAUCAGUCACACUGGAACUGAGACACGGCCCAGACUCCUACGGGAGCAGCAGUGGGAAUA
rnacentral:rRNA from 1 species